rnacentral:lncRNA from 1 species
UAAACCGAUAAGGAAAAUUUUCGAAAUCGAAAUCGAAUCGAUAAACCGAUAACAAAAUAAUCAAUUCGAUUUAUCGAUAAACCGAUUCGAAUGCACACCCCUAGUGCCGAGUCAAGCUACCUUAUUUAAAUUGAAAUGGAGGGAGCAGUUUAUUUAAUCUAACUUUAUGAUCACUUCAUCUCUUAAUUUUUUUAUCACGUGAACUUUAAACAAUUGGACGGAAAUGAAAAGUCAUGAUUUUCAAACUCAAUCAGCUACAUUUUAAUCUCAAAUUAAUUGGAGUAAGACCUAUACAACUUAUGUAUCCAAAUAUUCAAAGGAUUCAUCAUAUUUAGACAACAAAACUAAAAAGAAUAUAUAGCAAAUU